rnacentral:lncRNA from 1 species
AAAAUCCUCCUAUUCAAUUUGAUACUCCUCACUCCUUAGCAACUAUCAUCUUCUGAUUCACCACUAGGCCAAAAUCCUAGGUAAAGCUAUCAUAAAAGCUCUAUUACUCACCAAAAUCACCAAUACUUGUGUUCUGAAGGUCUGGAUCCAAUUAAGUGUGGAUGCUUUCGAGAUUCUUUACUUACUUAGGUUUAUUAAUUCACCAAGUUAUUGAAGUCUCUAAGCUUGAAGUUGAGUUUAACUAUAAGUGAAAUCAUCUUUAAUAG